rnacentral:tRNA from 1 species
UCUUAUAUAGUAUAAACAUUAUCCUCGACUUCCAAUCAAGAGAUCUAAAUCCUUAGUAUAAGAA